rnacentral:rRNA from 1 species
AACGCGAAGAACCUUACCUACUCUUGACAUCCUCGGAAUCCAGCAGAAAUGAUGGAGUGCCUUCGGGAACCGAGAGACAGGUGCUGCAUGGCUGUCGUCAGCUCGUGUCGUGAGAUGUUGGGUUAAGUCCCGUAACGAGCGCAACCCUUAUUCUUAGUUGCCAACAGGUAAAGCUGGGAACUCUAAGGAGACUGCCGGUGAUAAGCCGGAGGAAGGUGGGGACGACGUCAAGUCAUCAUGGCCCUUACGAGUAGGGCUACACACGUGCUACAAUGGGCGGUACAAAGGGAAGCGAAGCCGUGAGGUGAAGCGAAUCUCAAGAAAGCCGCUCGUAGUCCGGAUUGGAGUCUGCAACUCGACUCCAUGAAGUUGGAAUCGCUAGUAAUCGCGGAUCAGAACGCCGCGGUGAAUACGUUCCCGGGCCUUGUACACACCGAGUAUA